rnacentral:sRNA from 1 species
UUUGAAUGGUUCCAUUGUACCCGCUGUGGGAAAACAAGAAAGUUGGUAGAAAUGGUUCGUGCUGGUGUGAGUGUGAGGGUUAUAAAAUGACCACCACAUGAAGUACCUGGUGUACUUGACAUUUCGCCGAAUGGCUUUAGGCAGAGCCUGAAACUGGCAGCAACGAAAAGUCUGGUGACUAAUCUAAACAUUCAAGACCUGUGUGUGCUGUCACAGGACGGUUAACACUGGAAUAAAUGUGUUUAUUUAUUUCAGUUUGCGCCUUGUUUGUUUGUAUUUAUACUGGGAAUGUUUGUUUCUCUAAAACGAGAAUUAGACCGAGGGAUGUCGGAAAAGGAAUGCAAGCACUAUAUGAAGGCUAAAACAAUUGAAAUGCUUUUAGCAUUACAGUUUAGUUGAUCUAGUAUAAGUGAACAUUAAUAGAACUAAUGAAAAAAAAAGUAUUUUUAGGUAAAUUGUAAAAAGGAGUGCACUCUACUUGGAAAAUAAAUGUAUUCAAGACUAAUUGGAGAGAAAUAAAGGAUGUGUCAAAUGGAAGCCGUCACCCGAUUGUUAUAAUCACUGGAAGACGCAACAGAUAUUUUUUUUAUCUUGAUUUCAUUUCCAUCUCAUUAUUUAGGCUACUGACUGCCGGUGUUGUACUGACUGAGAUAUAACGUUGUGUACAUGUUUUUACUACGAUUGAAACACGGUUUAAAACAAUGUGUCAUAGUUGAGAACAAAUAAACUUUUAAAAUGUUUAGGAUUCGUCGUACCACGGCUUUAUGUAUAUGACUCCCAGGAAGCACUUUAAAAAUAUUUAGAGUUUGUAUAACCACAGCUUUUGUUCGUGCAUAUGAUUCACACGAAGCACUUUUAAAAAUGAUAUUUAUUUCUUCCUUUUAACUUUCUCAAGACAAUUUUAUGAAAAAUUUAUAUUUUACAAUUUAAUAGCACAAACAAGACAUAUAACCUAACUUACUAGCAGCUUAUCAACAGCUUGCAAAAUAUUUUAAAGUUUAUAUUUUUUUAGACACUUUUUUUUAGUAUCUGUUACGUGCACCAGUGACAUUUACCGGUCAUACAAGAGGCUGUCAACACGGUAGACAACUUAUCUUAUGAACUGAUAAUGGGACACGUUGCUUGUGGGCUGCUGGGUCACAGGUCACUGCAUUUAUGUUAGUUCUCAACCAUCUUCAUAGCAGUAGAAAUAGUAGAAACCUAGAUAUACACAGCUAAUCAGCUUUAGGGAUUUUCACACUAAAAGUUAAUCACAGUAAUCUGCUCUUUGUGUACACUUUGUUAAGGUCCCUUUUACGUUCAUUAAGCAAUAACAUGGGACACUAAGAUCCUCUUCCUAAAUAAAAAGUGCAAGCGAUAUGAAGACAUGUGAUGGUGACAUAUUGAAGACUUAUAAAAAACGUAAGAUGAAAAGAGGACAAUUAGGAGAGAUUUGAAAUCAAUUAACAAAAUAAUGUCAAGGACGCUCCAUUGAAAGAUCACUGUAGCCAAUUUAAUCGAAAGAAUUAAGAACAUUAAUUCUACAGUGCUGAAAAGCACAGAAAAAGAAAAGUUGUGUUUUUUCUACUACGUGAUACGUCUAUAUCAAUACUUGUUCUGUAAACAGAAUAUACCAGAGAAAAAAUAAUUUCUACCGGCACUGUAUUUAUGGACUUGCCUCCAGCCAACGUUGAACCAGCGUCUUCUGCUUCCGUGCCACUCGGAAUUAUCGAUCGCAUACGCACUUUGACCUUUUAGUAGGAGACAAUUCAUAAAGCAUAAAGGAGGACAUGUGGCAUUACUUGCUUUCUGACACCUUCCCUCUUUGGUUUGAGGAUAGAAAUACCUGUGCUUGAAAGAGAGGUUAGGUUUUGGUGUCUUUUAAAAUAAACCAUUUUAGUAAAACAAUUACAGUACAAACACAA